CAGCCACCCACAGUCUUUCCCAGGGCGAGCCACCCACACCUCAGUGUUUCACAGGCUCCCGCCAAGUCUGCUCAGCUGCCUUGGAGGCCCUCGGCUCUCCUUCAACAGCCACCUUGGCUUUUUGCCCGUUGGCGGCCAGGCUGCCACUCCGCAGCUGCCCUGAGAAGCUGCUAACCACAUGGCUUCAGUGGUGCCACCUUCGAGUUAUUUUUGCACCAGACUUCCGGCCGCCAUCACGGAUCAAGCUCUGCCUUCCUCCCUCCACAGAGCACUGACUGAGCCAGGGUUGAUGGUGGAGCAAGUCACAAGAGCAUCAUGAAUAGGACUUAAAAGGAGCAAUAAUCUACAUACUAUUUCUGGUACACACAGGAGAUCUCAGCUCCAACUCUAUGUAAGGGGCAAGCAUCCAUCAUGAUGUACCUCCUGCCUACUUCUGAUGAAGCACAUGCUGUGCAGUUGGGGCAACCAAGUUGGCUUAAAGAAGCAAGAACAUGUGGCCUAUUAUCUUACAUGACCAACAUCCCCCAGCACUCCAGGCACAUAGAAGGAGAAAGAAAUGUGAAAAUUUUCUCACUUUUCAUAUGCCUUAAAUCAUUUUCUCUUCAUACUUUUAUAACUUACUUAAGCUUUUAUAUCCCCAGAUAUGAAAUUACUUUCUUUGACUCUCAUAACUUUCAUAAACUGUAAACCAUUUUUUCCUCUUUAACCAUUUCUCAUAAUACAGUUGUUGAUUGCUGAGAGCAGUCCUUUAUUGUGGGGAUACUCUUCUUGUGCAUUGUGUAAAGGUUUCUUUGUAUUAUUCAAAUGUUGAUUUCUGUACCAGCAGAUUGCUGAGUACAGUCUGAACAUUGCUAUCAUUUUCAUGAAGCAUCACUUGUCUCAGUGUUUGCUUUAAUAAGGAGCUGACAGCCUAUGGCAGGGCAGGAGAGGAAAGGGGAACACCUGGGUAGAGAGAGAAACUCUGGGACAGAAUAGUGUGUGUGUGUGUGUGUGUGUGUUGUGUGUGUGUGCAUGUGUGUGUCUGUAUGUCUGUGUGUGUAUUUGUGUCUCUCUGUGUGUGGGGGUCUGUGUGUAUAUGUGUCUAUGUGUGUCUGUGUGUGUGUGUGUGUUUGUGUCUGUGUGUGUCUGUCUGUGUGUGGGAGGGUGGGUCUGUGUUUGUAUGCCUGUUUGUGUGUGUGUGUGUGUGUGUGUGUGUGUGUGUGUGUGUGUGUGUGUGUGUGUAGUAUUCACUAGCCAGACAAGGAAGAAGAAACAGGUGCCAAGACUGAAGGAGAGAUAACAGGACACGUGGCAGAAUGUGGAUUAGAAUAAAUGGGUCGAUUCAGUUAUGUGAGCUAGUUGGGAAUGAACCUAAACUAUAAGGUCUAACCUUAAUAAAUAAUAGUAAGUCUCUGUGUCGUUAUUGGAGGCUGGUGGGUUGAGGCUGCCAGGUUGAGACAGUCUGGAAAUAAUUUAUUAUUUCUUUAAAUAAAGGAAUAAUAAAAAGUUACAUCAGAAACCUGUUUAUCUUUUUGUGAAGCCUGUUAGCAAGGUAAACCUGUCUACCUUUUCUGAACAAGAGAUCUUGUUUUUGUGAUGUCCUCACUCCCUUGCUUGUGCUUCUGAAUAAAUGACCUAUAGAC